rnacentral:rRNA from 1 species
UACGGGGGGGGCAAGCGUUGUUCGGAAUUACUGGGCGUAAAGGGCUCGUAGGCGGCCAACUAAGUCAGACGUGAAAUCCCUCGGCUUGACCGGGGAACUGCGUCUGAUACUGGAUGGCUUGAGUUUGGGAGAGGGAUGCGGAAUUCCAGGUGUAGGGGUGAAAUGCGUAGAUAUCUGGAGGAACACCGGUGGCGAAGGCGGCAUCCUGGACCAACACUGACGCUGAGGAGCGAAAGCCAGGGGAGCAAACGGG